GAUCCCAUCAGAACUCCGCAGUUAAGCGUGCUUGGGCGAGAGUAGUACUAGGAUGGGUGACCCCCUGGGAAGUCCUCGUGAUGCACCCU
rnacentral:rRNA from 1 species